rnacentral:lncRNA from 1 species
AUGGUAUCUGUUUACUCACUGGGAUUAUAAAAUCUCACCCCUUCUUCCUAUACAUUUUUCAGGCUCAGGACAGUUUGUAGAUAGUCGAGUAGGACGAGAACUAAGCUCGAAACUGCAUUAUAGAAAGUAAGAGUUCACAGUCUUACAUCCUCUUGGUCAAUUGGAGCCCACGUGUCAUUACAGAUCAAAACUUAUAUUUUGGUUAUCUGUAUUUCUAUUCAUACAAUUUUUACUUUACUUUCAUGUGCGAAAAAUUAUUUACGAAUAUUUCUAUAAAAAUUUAUUUUAUGAGAAAAUAGAAUAUUUUAUUGAUUAUUUUUAAAUAGUACUAGUUGUUAACAAUUUGCUUUCAAAUGAACGUUUUAGAUACUUAUUUUGUUUUUAAAUCAUUAAAUAUAUAUUUUCUGCUUACCUACUACAUUUUUAGCAAGUUUUG